rnacentral:rRNA from 1 species
CAGGCUUAACACAUGCAAGUCGAGGGGCAGCAUGGUCUUAGCUUGCUAAGACUGAUGGCGACCGGCGCACGGGUGAGUAACACGUAUCCAACCUGCCGUCUACUCUUGGACAGCCUUCUGAAAGGAAGAUUAAUACAAGAUGGCAUCAUGAGUCCGCAUGUUCACAUGAUUAAAGGUAUUCCGGUAGACGAUGGGGAUGCGUUCCAUUAGAUAGUAGGCGGGGUAACGGCCCACCUAGUCUUCGAUGGAUAGGGGUUCUGAGAGGAAGGUCCCCCACAUUGGAACUGAGACACGGUCCAAACUCCUACGGGAGGCAGCAGUGAGGAAUAUUGGUCAAUGGGCGAGAGCCUGAACCAGCCAAGUAGCGUGAAGGAUGACUGCCCUAUGGGUUGUAAACUUCUUUUAUAAAGGAAUAAAGUCGGGUAUGCAUACCCGUUUGUAUGUACUUUAUGAAUAAGGAUCGGCUAACUCCGUGCCAGCAGCCGCGGUAAUACGGAGGAUCCGAGCGUUAUCCGGAUUUAUUGGGUUUAAAGGGAGCGUAGAUGGAUGUUUAAGUCAGUUGUGAAAGUUUGCGGCUCAACCGUAAAAUUGCAGUUGAUACUGGAUAUCUUGAGUGCAGUUGAGGCAGGCGGAAUUCGUGGUGUAGCGGUGAAAUGCUUAGAUAUCACGAAGAACUCCGAUUGCGAAGGCAGCCUGCUAAGCUGCAACUGACAUUGAGGCUCGAAAGUGUGGGUAUCAAACAGGAUUAGAUACCCUGGUAGUCCACACGGUAAACGAUGAAUACUCGCUGUUUGCGAUAUACGGCAAGCGGCCAAGCGAAAGCGUUAAGUAUUCCACCUGGGGAGUACGCCGGCAACGGUGAAACUCAAAGGAAUUGACGGGGGCCCGCACAAGCGGAGGAACAUGUGGUUUAAUUCGAUGAUACGCGAGGAACCUUACCCGGGCUUAAAUUGCAGAUGAAUUACGGUGAAAGCCGUAAGCCGCAAGGCAUCUGUGAAGGUGCUGCAUGGUUGUCGUCAGCUCGUGCCGUGAGGUGUCGGCUUAAGUGCCAUAACGAGCGCAACCCUUGUUGUCAGUUACUAACAGGUUCCGCUGAGGACUCUGACAAGACUGCCAUCGUAAGAUGUGAGGAAGGUGGGGAUGACGUCAAAUCAGCACGGCCCUUACGUCCGGGGCUACACACGUGUUACAAUGGGGGGUACAGAGGGCCGCUACCACGCGAGUGGAUGCCAAUCCCCAAAACCUCUCUCAGUUCGGACUGGAGUCUGCAACCCGACUCCACGAAGCUGGAUUCGCUAGUAAUCGCGCAUCAGCCACGGCGCGGUGAAUACGUUCCCGGGCCUUGUACACACCGCCCGUCAAGCCAUGGGAGCCGGGGGUACCUGAAGUGCGUAACCGCGAGGAGCGCCCUAGGGUAAAACUGGUGACUGGGGC